GUUUGGAAUUCGAAUCAACAACAGUGUAUGUAGCUAACUCGGAUCCUUCACCGAUUAGAUUAAUCAACAGACCGAAAACAAUCAAUUGAUUCAUAAUCAAUUACUGAUGGGAUGAAAUACGACUAGGAUUGGCUCUGAUAUCCAAUGUUAGAUAAUUCAAUUCAAUCAUAAACAAUAGAUUACGAAUUGAAACCCUAAUCAAUACAAGAUCACCGAUUAAUUCAAAUGCGGAAAACUAAAUAAACCUGCAGAUGAAGCCAUCUGAUUCCCUUCUUUUCUUUCCUUCAAUUCCAUCUUCUUUCGUUCAUCUCCGGCGAAAUUAGAUCGCCGAUGAUCUGUUCUGAAUCUCCGACCUUCGGGUCUCCAACGGCACUACCCUGGAAUCGCCACACGAAACCCUUCCAGCGCGUCUCUGACCGGGAGAGAUUGAUUUCGAAUUUCUGGUU
rnacentral:lncRNA from 1 species